UGCCAAAUGAACCAUAUGUCAUAAUUGACAUCACACCAUCUCUUCAUUUUCUUCAUCAAAUCCUUCAUUUUUAUUUUUACCAUCUUCUUCAAAACAAUUGUCUUCUUCAAAAAUAUCGAUAUCUUUAGUAUGAUCCUCCAUAUUGAUUUCUUUAUCUUAUCUUUUAAAAAUCUUCACUCGCUUCCUAUUAAUAGGUAUUUUUAACCUCGUUCCAUCUAACUCCCUUAAUGAAUAUGUAGCAUUAUCAUGAACCAUUACUAUCACAUAUGAUCCAAAUCAAUGUUUUGAAAAAUUUUACAAAGCACUUUGUUGGUUUUAGAAAUUGCUAAUACAAACAAGUAUCCAAUCACC
rnacentral:lncRNA from 1 species